rnacentral:rRNA from 1 species
UCAGGACGAACGCUGGCGGCGUGCUUAACACAUGCAAGUCGAGCGGAAAGGCCACUUCGGUGGUACUCGAGCGGCGAACGGGUGAGUAACACGUGAGUAAUCUGCCCUCCACUUUGGGAUAGCCACCGGAAACGGUGAUUAAUACCGGAUAUGACAUCGUCACGCAUGUGGUGGUGUGGAAAGUUUUUUCGGUGGGGGAUGUGCUCGCGGCCUAUCAGCUUGAUGGUGGGGUAAUGGCCUACCAUGGCUUCGACGGGUAGCCGGCCUGAGAGGGUGACCGGCCACACUGGGACUGAGACACGGCCCAGACUCCUACGGGAGGCAGCAGUGGGGAAUAUUGGACAAUGGGCGGAAGCCUGAUCCAGCAACGCCGCGUGAGGGAUGACGGCCUUCGGGUUGUAAACCUCUUUCAGCACAGACGAAGCGCAAGUGACGGUAUGUGCAGAAGAAGCACCGGCCAACUACGUGCCAGCAGCCGCGGUAAUACGUAGGGUGCGAGCGUUGUCCGGAAUUAUUGGGCGUAAAGGGCUCGUAGGCGGUUUGUCGCGUCGGGAGUGAAAACGCGCUGCUUAACAGCGCGCUUGCUUUCGAUACGGGCAGACUAGAGGUAUGCAGGGGAGAACGGAAUUCCUGGUGUAGCGGUGAAAUGCGCAGAUAUCAGGAGGAACACCGGUGGCGAAGGCGGUUCUCUGGGCAUGACCUGACGCUGAGGAGCGAAAGUGUGGGGAGCGAACAGGAUUAGAUACCCUGGUAGUCCACACCGUAAACGUUGGGCGCUAGGUGUGGGGCCUAUUCCAUGGGUUCCGUGCCGCAGCUAACGCAUUAAGCGCCCCGCC